GGAAAAGCUGUAGAUAAUGAUCUGUAAAGUUUAAUAUUUUGACUGUGAAUCCAAAAAAAAUUCAAAUGGCAUCUGUUGGCAAUGGUGAACAUCCUGGUAUUGUUGAGGAACCUAUGAGCAAGGCUCAUGUACCUCUGAAUGUUUCAACAUCUCAAAGGGGACUUGUAAGUAAUGAAAAUUCUCAGAGCCAUUUCCAGGAUAGUACUCUUGCUAUUCCCAAGAGGCUAAAGUUCCUCAACUUUGGUAAUUUGGGUUCUCCAUCGUUAAAGUUUCAACAGAUAGCUGAUCAAAGAGAUGAUUUUUCUCGAACUGUACCUUCUUCUAGCAGCCUUCAUCUCCGUCAACGUAUUACUAGACUAUUUUCACGGAAAUUGGAUUGGCCAGCUCUUAGGAAAAUGUGCAAAGAGUGGUUCAGAAAUCCGCUGAAUAUUGUACUUUUUAUCUGGAUUGUAUGUGUAGCUGUUUCUGGUGCAAUUUUGUUUCUUGUGAUGACGGGGAUGUUGAACCAUGCCAUCCCUAAAAAAUCUAUGAGAGAUACAUGGUUUGAAGUGAAUAACCAAAUUCUUAAUGCAUUGUUUACUCUCAUGUGUCUAUACCAGCACCCACAAAGGCUAUAUCACUUUGUUCUUUUAAUGCGAUGGAGGCCAGAAGACAUUUCCAGGCUGAGAAAGGUUUACUGCAAAAAUGGAACUUAUAAGCCCCAUGAAUGGACACACAUGAUGGUGGUUGUCGCAUUACUUAAUCUCAACUGUUUUGCUCAAUAUGCUCUGUGUGGGCUUAAUUUGGGUUACAAGAGGUCAGUAAGACCAGCUAUUGGGGUAGGAAUAUGUAUCUCAGUUGCAAUUGGUGCACCUGCCAUUGCUGGAAUUUACUGUAUGCUCAGCCCUCUAGGAAAAGAUUAUGAUACUGAGUUAGACGAGGAAGCACAACUUCGAACAACAGCCGAGAGCAGCAGUGCUAGCCAACUGAGAAGAAAAGCAUUGGAAAAGAGAUUUUCUUUUGCAUCAGAUGAAGGGAGACUUGUUGAAACUAGACCACAAUGGAGU
rnacentral:misc_RNA from 1 species